UUGAACGCUGGCGGCAGGCCUAACACAUGCAAGUCGAGCGGAUGAAGGGAGCUUGCUCCUGGAUUCAGCGGCGGACGGGUGAGUAAUGCCUAGGAAUCUGCCUGGUAGUGGGGUAUAACGUCCGGAAACGGGCGCUAAUACCGCAUACGUCCUGAGGGAGAAAGUGGGGGAUCUUCGGACCUCACGCUAUCAGAUGAGCCUAGGUCGGAUUAGCUAGUUGGUGGGGUAAAGGCCUACCAAGGCGACGAUCCGUAACUGGUCUGAGAGGAUGAUCAGUCACACUGGAACUGAGACACGGUCCAGACUCCUACGGGAGGCAGCAGUGGGGAAUAUUGGACAAUGGGCGAAAGCCUGAUCCAGCCAUGCCGCGUGUGUGAAGAAGGUCUUCGGAUUGUAAAGCACUUUAAGUUGGGAGGAAGGGCAGUAAGUUAAUACCUUGCUGUUUUGACGUUACCAACAGAAUAAGCACCGGCUAACUUCGUG
rnacentral:rRNA from 1 species